rnacentral:rRNA from 1 species
AACGAACGCUGGCGGCAUGCCUAACACAUGCAAGUCGAACGAAGCCUUCGGGCUUAGUGGCGCACGGGUGCGUAACGCGUGGGAAUCUGCCCUUGGGUUCGGAAUAACAGUUAGAAAUGACUGCUAAUACCGGAUGAUGUCUUCGGACCAAAGAUUUAUCGCCCAAGGAUGAGCCCGCGUAGGAUUAGGUAGUUGGUGGGGUAAUGGCCCACCAAGCCGACGAUCCUUAGCUGGUCUGAGAGGAUGAUCAGCCACACUGGGACUGAGACACGGCCCAGACUCCUACGGGAGGCAGCAGUGGGGAAUAUUGGACAAUGGGCGAAAGCCUGAUCCAGCAAUGCCGCGUGGGUGAUGAAGGCCUUAGGGUUGUAAGGCUCUUUUACCAGGGAUGAUAAUGACAGUACCUGGAGAAUAAGCUCCGGCUAACUCCGUGCCAGCCGCCGCGGUAA